rnacentral:lncRNA from 1 species
UGCAGAAUGCAUUAUAACCGCAUUGCUGAAACGCGAAAAUCACGACAAAAGAACGAGAGCGUGAAAUUGCAGGGCCUUACGGGAGUCUGGCAGCAAUGGCGGCACUACAUGCGGCGACCGAGAUAAAUGUUCGAAAGAGAAAGAGAGACGACCGUUCGUGGAACUGAUCCCGAUGUCUCACGCGAUGUGCGAGUGACAAGAAUUUCAAGAAUCAUUUAAGGUUGCCGCGCGGCCGCUUCGACUGGGGCCGCGCAAAACUAGUCAUUUCUCUGGCUUCGGUGCGCGUAUCCGAGGAGGUAUAAGGAGCGAGACGUCCCGGGAUAAACGGCUGCUCGACGCGCGGGAAGACCGAGAGCCGAGAAGUGGCGAUUCGUGAUUUGUUCCGCGACGUGGAAUGCCUCGUUCCGCGAACGAGCGGAAUUAACGAUUUGAAAUCUUUUUCGAGUGCUGCGAGGCGCACGGCGCGUCGCGGAAAAAGAAAGAACGUGUACGCAGCCACGUUCCUUACAAGUCGUUUACCGAGAAUCUGCUUCUGCCGCUGUUCCUGCCUACCGGUGCAGAGCGCCUGACGAUUCUAUUUUUGAUGUGUAGCCGUCGUUGUCGCGAGAGAGAGAGAGAGAGAGAGAGAGAGAGAGAAACGGCUCUCCUUCCUUCUGUGUUUUUUCUCUCCACACGGCUCGUUGCAAGCGUAAUUGACGGGAAUUCAGUUUCUUUAAAUUGAGUCCUUCGACGCCUGCUUGUCGCGUGUGCGCUCACGCUCGCGAGACUUUCGUUAGAAAUUAUUAAGGACGAGGAAGACCCCGCAACUCUUUUACCUGUCAGAAGUUCGUUUUCUUUGCGUUCCCCCUGUAGGUCAGGUCGGAGUUUGUUGCUUCCUAUCUUGCUAAUUUCGAAUUAAAUCUUAAAGAAUCAGCUAAACCUUUUGGUAGUAAAAUGUCAAUCAGAAGUGGUUUAAUAAAACUCUUUCUACUCUACUCAAAGCAAUCUGUAGAAGGUAUACAAAGUUGGUGACUGUAUUUUAUGUACGAAGGAAAUUCUUUAUUGGCCAAUAAAUUAUGGCCACUGGAACUCAAUAAUUCAUAUCCGAUAAAUAAGAAUUCUCUUUCUUUUUCUCUCUGUCUCAUUCUUUCAUGUGUACAAAUCAUGAAAUUGAUAGGUUGAAUAUUAAGGUGCGAAUUACCAACCAGUGAACGUGACGUUUUUAAGGUGCUUGUAAAAAAUCUCUUGAUGAUGUUACUGUGCGCGUGUAAAUUGUUGAAACUAAAACCAAUAACCAAAAAACCAAUUAUACGUAUAUUAAAUACGUUCGUUUCCAGUAUUGCGAUCGAACCACGUUUUGGUUCGAAUAUAAACGAAUGAAAAAGUGCUAUGAGAUGUCGAUGUGUCGCGAGUGUAAUGAGCCGUCACCGAUAAAAAGGAAUUUAAAAACUUAACUUAUUGUGAUCGAUGAUAAAAUCACCAGGGCUUUUUUUCCUGUUAAAAAUGCUAGUUUUGAUCCUGCAUACAUCUAACUGCUAUUUUUGAACAUUUGUUCGUAUUUGACUUUUUAAGAAACUAUAUGUUGAACGCAA